AUGACCCGCCAAGACCAGCACGCGCGCGCGCAGCGCCAUGGGAUUGGGCGUCAGGUCGGUUGGCCAAUGUUCAUGCAUGAUGAGCGUCCAUGUCGUUCCGUCCCGGCGUCGCAUUCGCCUCGCCGUAAAGCUCACGGCUCCGUCCCUACCAACAGCGACACCGACGUCCGACGCCGACGACCCACCACCCUCCGCCUCGCCUCGCCCCACUCCGCCCCGUGCCCGUACCCAUGCGCGCGCGCCGCCCUCGACGCCCGCGUCUCUCACUCGCCGAGGCCUCCUCCGCUGCCACCUUCACCGGCCCAGCAGGGGACGUCCUUCCCCAUGCUGCUCCCGGUCUUCCUCCUCUUCGUCCUCCUCCUCUGCUUCCUCUCCAUCUUCCUCCUCCGCGACCUCCUCCGCUUCUUCUCCCUCUGGCUCCGCCGCCGCCGCCGCCGCCUCCAGUCCAGCGACGCGGACGCCGCAACGGGCGAAGAAGACGCGCCCGCGCCCGCGCCGCGCAAGCCGGCGGGCCUGGAUCCCGCCGUCAUCGCCUCGUUCCCCACGGUGCGGUUCGAGGCCGACGCCGCCGGCUCCGCGGCGCCGGCGGAGUGCGCGGUCUGCCUGUCCGAGUUCGCGCCCGGCGACGCCGUCCGGCCGCUCACCGUCUGCCGCCACGCCUUCCACGCCGCGUGCAUCGACUCGUGGCUCGGCGCGCACACCACGUGCCCGGUCUGCCGCACCGACCUGGGCGCUCCGCCCAACGAGGAGAUCGCCGUCGCGGAAGAACACGGAGACCGUGGCCAGGCUGCAGCGGCGGUCCACGAGGCCACUGGACGCCGGACAACGUCGUCACCUCCGGCAAGUGGCCAGCGGUAA
rnacentral:rRNA from 1 species